CACGUAGGGCGCAAGCGUUGUCCGGAAUCAUUGGGCGUAAAGAGCUCGUAGGCGGUCUGUUGCGUCUGCUGUGAAAUCCCGGGGCUUAACCCCGGGCUUGCAGUGGAUACGGGCGGACUUGAGGUAGGUAGGGGAGAAUGGAAUUCCCGGUGUAGCGGUGAAAUGCGCAGAUAUCGGGAGGAACACCGGUGGCGAAGGCGGUUCUCUGGGCCUUACCUGACGCUGAGGAGCGAAAGCGUGGGGAG
rnacentral:rRNA from 1 species